GAGGGUUCAAGUCCCUCUAUCCCCCAAAAAGGACCAUUUGACUCCUUAAU
rnacentral:tRNA from 1 species